AUUGAACGCUGGCGGCAGGCUUAACACAUGCAAGUCGAGCGGGGUGAUGGUGCUUGCACUAUCACUUAGCGGCGGACGGGUGAGUAAUGCUUAGGAAUCUGCCUAUUAGUGGGGGACGACAUCUCGAAAGGGAUGCUAAUACCGCAUACGUCCUACGGGAGAAAGCAGGGGAUCACUUGUGACCUUGCGCUAAUAGAUGAGCCUAAGUCGGAUUAGCUAGUUGGUGGGGUAAAGGCCUACCAAGGCGACGAUCUGUAGCGGGUCUGAGAGGAUGAUCCGCCACACUGGGACUGAGACACGGCCCAGACUCCUACGGGAGGCAGCAGUGGGGAAUAUUGGACAAUGGGGGGAACCCUGAUCCAGCCAUGCCGCGUGUGUGAAGAAGGCCUUAUGGUUGUAAAGCACUUUAAGCGAGGAGGAGGCCCUUCUGGUUAAUACCCAAGAUGAGUGGACGUUACUCGCAGAAUAAGCACCGGCUAACUCUGUGCCAGCCGCCGCCGUAA
rnacentral:rRNA from 1 species